rnacentral:rRNA from 1 species
UGUGAAUUGCAGAAUCCCGUGAACCAUCGAGUCUUUGAACGCAAGUUGCGCCCGAAGCCAUCAGGCCAGGGCACGUCUGCCUGGGCGUCACGCAU